rnacentral:piRNA from 1 species
AGCCAAUCAAGGAGUGACAC